UGUCAAGGAUCUCAAGUUCAUUUUAGAGGGCGGAGUUGACGCCUUGUCUUCACAUUUACAUGAAUAAACAUUAAAGGAAAGGCACACAUGAUAUUGAGAUAAUUUUACAAAUAUUUAAUGGACUUGUAUGUGCCUCAGGUUGGGAAGAGGUCAUCGUGGGGGGCGGAGUUAUGCGUCCCAUCUAAUAUGGCGUUUUGGCCUUUUGUCACUUCAUUUAACCGUUUUUAAGAGUAUCGUCAAGGAUCUCAAGUCCAUUUUAGAGGGCGGAGUUGACGCCUUGUCUUCAAAUUUACAUGAAUGAACAUUAAAGGUUCAGAAGAGGUCAUCGUGGGGGGCGGAGUCAUGUGUCCCAUCUAAUAUGGCAAUUACGCCUUUUGUCACUUCAUUUAACCGUUUUUAAGAGUACCAUCAAGGAUCUCAAGUCCAUUUUAGAGGGCGGAGUUGACGCCUUGUCUUCAAAUUUACAUGAAUGAACAUUAAAGAGGUCAUCAUGGGGGGUGGAGUCACUUACUGAUUCAGAGAGAGAGGAUAGGGUAAGCAAGU